UCGGAUAUGGUGUAAUGGCUAACAUUGCCGCCUCUCAGAGUAUUCUGCAUCGCGGCAGCUCGGGGUUCGAUUCCCCGUAUCCGAG